AUGCACAUGCUUCCAUUAACUAGCCACACCCCCAGAAGGCAAUCGCACCACAACAAUGGUCAUGUCAGCCUAGGCGUUAAGUGUUCCAAGGAGGUGGCCACAGUCAUUCACGGGGCCAUCAUCUUGGCCAAGAUGUCCAUCGUCCCUGUGUGGCGAGACUACUGGGGGAACAAAAACCCACACAGUUCCUUACAAGAUGACCGGCCGCUGCGGCUCUUUCCUGGUGCGUCUCAUCCCUGCGCCCAGAGGCACUGGCAUUGUUUUAGCCCCUAUGCCCAAGAAGCUGCUGCUGAUGGCUGGUAUUGAUGAUUGUCACACCUCGGCCAGGGGCUGCACUGCCCCCUGGGCAACUUUGCCAAGGCCCCCUUUGAUGCCAUCUCCAAGACCUACAGCUAUCUCACCCCUGACCUCUGGAAAGAGACUGUGUUCACAAAGUCUCCCUAUCAGGGGUUCACUGAUGACCUUGUGAAGACCCACACCAGAGUCUCCGUGCAGAGGACCCAGGCUCCAGCUGUGGCAACCACAUAAGAGGCUUAGAUAAAGAGAAAUGAAAGUGAAUGCAGCCUGAAAAA